GACAGAGGGUGCAAACGUUGUUCGGAUUUACUGGGCGUAAGGCGCGUGUAGGCGGCUUUGCAAGUCGGAUGUGAAAUCCCACGGCUCAACCGUGGAAGUGCAUCCGAAACUGCAUCGCUGGAGUCUCGGAGAGGAAGGUGGAAUGCUUGGUGUAGAGGUGAAAUUCGUAGAUAUCAAGCAGAACACCUGCGGCGAAGGCGGCCUUCUGGACGAUGACUGACGCUGAGACGCGAAAGCGUGGGGAGCAAACAGG
rnacentral:rRNA from 1 species